rnacentral:rRNA from 1 species
AUUGAACGCUGGCGGCAGGCCUAACACAUGCAAGUCGAGCGGAGCGGCGGACGGGUGAGUAAUGCAUAGGAAUCUGCCUGGUAGUGGGGGAUAACGUCCGGAAACGGGCGCUAAUACCGCAUCCUAUCAGAUGAGCCUAGGUCGGAUUAGCUAGUUGGUGGGUUAGAGGCCUACCAGGGCGACGAUCCGUCACUGGUCUGAGCGGAGGAUCAGUCACACUGGAAUGGAGCCACGGUCCGGACUCUUACGGGAGGCAGCAGGGGGGAAUAUGGGACAAUGGGCGAAAGCCUGAUCCAGCCAUGCCGCGGUUGUGAAGAAGGUCUUCGGAUUGUAAAGCACUUUAAGUUGGGGGGCGGUACCAACAGAAUAAGCACCGGCUAACUUCGUGCCAGCCGCCGCGGUAAUAC